rnacentral:tRNA from 1 species
GCCUCCAUAGCUUAAUCUAAAGCAUGGCACUGAAGAUGCCAAGAUGGUACCCACAAUACCUGCAGGC